rnacentral:tRNA from 1 species
GGGCCGUUAGCUCAAUUGGUAGAGCAGUGGACUCUUAAUCCAUCGGUUGUAGGUUCGAGUCCUACACGGCCCACCA